rnacentral:rRNA from 1 species
UACGUAGGGGGCUAGCGUUGUCCGGAAUCAUUGGGCGUAAAGCGCGCGUAGGCGGCCCGGUAAGUCCGCUGUGAAAGUCAAAGGCUCAACCUUUGAAAGCCGGUGGAUACUGCCGGGCUAGAGUCCGGAAGAGGCGAGUGGAAUUCCUGGUGUAGCGGUGGAAUGCGCAGAUAUCAGGAGGAACACCGAUGGCGAAGGCAGGUCUCUGGGCCACUACUGACGCUGAGAAGCGAAAGCAUGGGGAGCGAACAGG